rnacentral:rRNA from 1 species
AACACAUGCAAGUCGAACGGGCGUAGCAAUACGUCAGUGGCAGACGGGUGAGUAGCACGUGGGAACGUACCUCUUGGUUCGGAACAACACAGGGAAACUUGUGCUAAUACCGGAUAAGCCCUUACGGGGAAAGAUUUAUCGCCGAGAGAUUGGCCCGCGUCUGAUUAGCUAGUUGGUAGGGUAAUGGCCUACCAAGGCGACGAUCAGUAGCUGGUCUGAGAGGAUGAUCAGCCACAUUGGGACUGAGACACGGCCCAAACUCCUACGGGAGGCAGCAGUGGGGAAUCUUGCGCAAUGGGCGAAAGCCUGACGCAGCCAUGCCGCGUGAAUGAUGAAGGUCUUAGGAUUGUAAAAUUCUUUCACCGGGGACGAUAAUGACGGUACCCGGAGAAGAAGCCCCGGCUAACUUCGUGCCAGCAGCCGCGGUAAUAC